UAUCACUCAGCGGGUAGCGUAGGUAAUUUAUUGCUUUCGUUUUCCGUGUACUUUGUUGUCUGCUGGUUAGCAUCAAUUUUGAUUGUCAUAAAAAGGUUAAGGGGAUGUGGCUCCUUCGGGAGUGUUAUAACCCUUAGCGGAAUGUGGCGAUUGGGAUUGAGGAUUGCAACGAAUACCUUUAGGGCAGUUCCGUCUGGUCUCUUGUUGAUUUUCAGAUAGCAAAAGCUUGCUUUUGUUGUUUGAAUAGAGUUAGCAAAUAGAUUGGAAAGUGAAUUAAUUCGUUAAGGAUGCUGACGUA
rnacentral:rRNA from 1 species